AUGGACCUUCAGGCUCAAAUUGUCAGCUUUCUGCUGCUCAGWGUCACAGUGUCCAGUGGAGAAAUUGUGCUCACGCAGUCUCCAGGGUCACUGGCUGCUUCCCAAGGGGAGAGGGUCACCAAGACCUGCACAGCCAGCUCCAGUGUAAGCACCAGCUACUUGCACUGGUACCAACAGAAGCUGGGGUCCUCUCCACAGCUACUGAUCUAUAGAACAUCCACCCUAGCCUCUGGAGUCCCGGUGCGCUUCAGUGGCAGUGGGUCUGGGACCUCCUACUUGCUCACGAUCAGCAGUGUGGAGGCUGAAGAUGUCACUACCUUCUACCUUCAGUGGGACAGCUCUCCACCCACAUGGUGCUACAGACUGCAACARAAACCCCUUGAGCUCCUUGGGCCAGCUGCUUCCCCCUCAGAGCCUGGCAAGGUCUAG